AGUAAUAUAAAAGUCAUUAUGUCCCAACGUUCAGCAGACUUCCGAGAGACAAAGCUGCUUGCGAGAAGAAGCAUUGGACAAAGAAAACAGGCUGAUCAGUUCAUCACCAAGGCCUUAUUCGGAAUGGCACGGGCUUACGCCGUUCUCUUGCUGAUGUGUUGUGUGACCUUGCUUAUCAUUGCUGUGGGCAGCACACCAGUUACGUCCAAAGGUGGCAAUGACGCUCACAGCCGUGCCAAGCGUAGAACAACAGCCUGCAAGCUGGGUACGUGCCAGACACACAAUUUGAUGUACUGGUUAGCUAAACCCGAACUGGAGCAUUCCGGUGGAACAGGCGCACACAGCUUCGGCCGGCGAAAGAGAAGAUCCGUUCCUGAUAAAAAGCAGCUUGUGAACCUUUUGAGAGGAAGUGCUAGACACGGAUGAAUGCGGAACCAUCGAACAAUAUCCGAAGAUGAAUCGUUGCGACAAGGUGCCUCAACCUGCUACUUUGUCACUUCUGGUACCUUUGGGAUAAAUCGAAUUACCUGAAUUGAGAACGUUAUUGAUCAAAUUACGAGUCUUG